rnacentral:rRNA from 1 species
AUGGUGGCGGUCGGCCACGGCGCGCACCCGGCCUUCUGGAGGACGCCGACGCCGUACCUCCUCCUCGGCUUCGCGCUCAUGAUGGGGAUCAUCGCCGUGGCGCUGCUCGUGCUCGUCUGCACGGACAGCAAGCCGUCCGGGUCGUCGUCGCGGCGGGGGAGCGCCGGCGAGGACGCGUCGGCGCGCGGGAUGGCGCCGCUCGACAGGGAGCCCAAGGUCGUCGUCAUCAUGGCCGGCGACGACUUGCCGUCCUUCCUCGCCAGCGCCAGGCCGUUCGCCUUCCCCGCCGUGACCGCCGCCGACGCGGGGGAGCCGCGCGGGGAGGACGCGUCGUAG